AUGUCACCUACAGCCCCCUUAGUCUCAGCUCAGCCAGAAACUUUAAUGCAAAGGAAAAGUCUGGAUUGGUUCCAUAGGCCUUUUAAAAAGAGGACUUAAAAGUUGCUGGCAAUGCAUUCCUUUUCGUCAGAGUCGAGGGCAAACUAGCUGAAAUCUGGGUGACCCGUGUCCUUUUCCGGCGAGCAGAGCAGAGAAGCGAGAGCGGCUGCUAGUUCGGCAGGAAAUUUGUUGGAAGAUGAAGAAGCUAAGAUAGGGGGUUGGUGACUUCCACAGGAAAAGUUCUGGAGCAGGGGCCAAAGACGAUCAGCGUUUCCUUUAUAUGUGGGAAUUGAAAUGACUAGCAUUACUGACUUUUCAGCAUCCCCUGUGAAUAUUUCUGUUUAGAUUUUUCUUCUUUAAAAGAAAAAAAUCCAGCCCGUAAAAAAAAAAUCAAGAAACUUUUGGGUAACACUGCAAUUACGUUACUUCAAAUUGAUAACUUCGAAAAUAAUUGGAACUCCUGUUUGCAAGUGUCAACCUAAAAAACGUGCUUCCUUUUAUAAUGGAAGAUGCCUUUCUGUGAUUGACUUCAAUUGCUGACUUGUGAAGAAGAAGCGAAUGUGAAAUCCCACGUAUAUGCCAUCAUUUCCCUCUAUGCUUGCUGACCGUUCUGGAAGAUCUUGAACCCUCUUCUGGAAAGGGGUACCUAGUAUUACUUUAUGGGGCAGCAGCCUGGAAAAGUUCUUGGGGACCAAAGAAGGCCAAGUUUGCCUGCCCUGCAUUUUAUCAAAGGAGCAGGGAGGAAGGAGUCCUCGAGGCAUGGGGGCCCACACUGUAAUGUUUUUGUGGAACAUGGUGAGUGCUUUUCCAAAUUUCUGCUCGUGGUUUUUUCUUAUGCAUUCCUCUUAGGCUUUCAGGGAACUUUCGAACAACAGUACUUGGGACAGUUUCUUCCAGUUCUACUUAAUAAUUUUGUCACUGUGGUUAUCUCUUAAGUUUCUGGUGGAACUUUGUAUAAGAAAAAGUUACUUAUGGCUUUAUUCAAAAUCUAUUUGAGUUGCUUGUGUUCUGCCUGAUUCCUUUUGGAAUUCACUGCUGACCUUGGACAAGCCAUGCCGCAGUUUCCUGAGGCGGUUGGACUUAAGUUGGGUCUUAGGAUCCAUGGUUUUGUGAUUCUGCUGUAACCGGAGUCAUGGACUCUUUACUGCUUUGUCUACAGGGAGCUUUUAUCAUAUUCUCAAAGUGGUUUGUGUUUCUGAGAAGGUUAAGAAUCAUGGAUACUGGUUGACAAGAGUAUCCUUGACCUUUUCCAUCAUAAGUUGGACUUGAAAAUAUUCACUUUGGAGCCAUGUGGGAAAAAUCAAGUGGGGAAAGCAGCCUUCCUUGUGAAUUUUAGAUACACAGCUUCUGUCUUACGUUCCAUGAGGAGCAUUCCCUUCCUCGCUGAUCAAGCUUUCAUCCUCUCUCCUCCUGUUUAGAAUGACAUUUGGGCCAAGAAAGGUUAUCUUUGACAUUUUUAUGAACGUAUUUGGCAUUUGAGUGCUGACAGUACGUUUUAUGUUGUUGAUGUCUAGUAAUUCUGUGUGAAGGUAAAGCUGAGGGUCAGCUUACAGUGAUAUCUAUGGGUUACUGUUUGCACUGUUGCAGCCUGACAGUUUUCAGAUUGUGUCCUUUCUGUUAAAAAAUCAGAUGAGCCCACCUAUCCUGUAAGCAAACGUAUGAAGUUGUGCAAGUGGUGUAUGCUUUGAAAUUCAUUCAGAAAUACCUCUUAACCAUAGGUGACUGCAAUCAACAGAGGUUUCUGUUGGAUGAACUUGCAUUUGACAGUUGAAGUUUUACUUUCUUGCAGGAAAAUAUUACUUCAUCUAAAUAAAUGUGGGUGCUUGGAUUUUACUUUGCUUUAAAACAUUAGUUCUAUUUUAGCUUUGUUUUCAGGCCAGCAAAUAUGGUCAUGUGUUAGGUUAUGAUGCCUCCCAAAUUCAGGAUUUAAAAAGUAAAUUAUUUACAUUUUAAGUAGAUACGAUGUGCAACUUACAUAGUGAAAAUUGGUACAGACUUUUUGGAGAGCUUUGGCAGAACUUAACAGAAUUCGAAAUGUAUGUGCCGAUGACCUAGUAAUCUCAUUUCUAGGAAACUAGUAUAGAAAGCAGUGUACUUCCCUACGUGACCCUCAUAUCUCUUCAGGGGUUCAGAAGCUAAAACUAUUUUCAUAUUAAUAGAGUACUAAGAUCUUGUCUCUUUUUCUGUGUUGACAUUUGCACUAAUGGUGCAAAAGCAAAAUAAGUAUCUUAGCAUGAAUCGGGGUUGUGAAACUACACAACCUGCAAAUCUCAGUUACAAUACUAGCUGUAUUUGUAGUCAUUGCAUUCUUCAUGACGUGCACUCACAGUUUAAAAAUAUAUGGAUAUUGGCUGGGCGCGGUGGUGGCUCAUGCCUGUAAUCCUAGCACUUUGGGAGGUUGAGGUGGGUGGAUCACCUAAGGUCAGGAGUUCAAGACCAGCCUGGCCAUCAUGGUGAAACCCCAUCUUUAAAAAAUAUAUAUGUGUGUGUGUGUGUAUCCACUUUUCACUGAAAAAUAUCUUUUUUUUUUUGAAUCAGAGUUUCACUGUGUUACCCAGGCUGGAGUGCAGUGUCGUGAUCUCAGCUCACUGUAAUUUUCUCUUCCUGGGUUCCAGUGAUUCUCCUGCCUCAACCUCCCAAGUAGCUGGGACAACAGGCACACACCACUGACGCCCUGCUAAUUUCUGUAUUUUUUAGUAGAGACCGGGUUUCUUUUUUUUUUUUUUUCUGAGAGAGUUUCGCUCUUGCUGCCCAGGCUGGCAUGCAGUGGCACGAUCUCAGCUCACUGAAACCUCUGCCUCCCAGGUUCAAGUGAUUCUCCUGCCUCAGCCUCCCGAGUAGCUGGGACUACAGGGGCCUGCCACUAUGCUCAGCUAAUUUUUGUAUUUUUAGUAGAGACUGGGUUUCACUAUGUUGGCCAGGCUGAUCUCAAACUCCUGACCUUGUGAUCUGCCUGCCUUGGCCCCUCAAAGUGUUGGGAUUACAGGCAUGAGCCACUGCACCUGGUCAGAUUUCACUGGAAAAUACCUUGAUGCAGCAGCAGAAAUAUAUUAAAUUUUGACCCUUGUGUAUGUCUUUUUUUUUUUUUUUUUUUUUGAGAUGGAGUUUUCUUCUUGUUGCCCAGCCUGGAGCACAGUGGUGCGAUCUAGGCUCACUCUGCCUUCCAGGUUCAAGUGAGGCAUUGCAAUGACAUUGCUUCACCCUCCCAAGUAGCUGGGAUUACAGGCAUGUGCCACCAUGCCCGGCUAAUUUUGCAUUUUUAGUAGAGUCGGGAUUUCUUGAUGUUGGUCAGGCUGGUCUCAAACUCCUGACCUCAGAUCAUCCUCCCAUCUCGGCCUCCCAAGGUGCUGGGACUACAGGCAUGAGCCACUGUGCUGUGUAUGUCUUCUUAAUAUUCUGUGGGUUAAAAAGGGAGGUAUACAUCAAGCACUUCUACCGUGUACUAAAGUAUAAUGGUUAUCUCUAGGAAAAGCACGUGGGUGAUUGGGUUGCAAACUGAACUAGCCACUUUUUUCACGGACUACCAUUUUUACUUGAAACUGUGACUGACAAACAUGGUUAUUCAAACUAAAAGUGUAUGCGGAAAUCUUUCAAAGAAAACAACAGGUAGUAUUUGUUGCCAAUGAUGAAAUUUUAACUUUCCAGUGAAAAUUAGGAUUUUGGAGAAAAACUUUUUUUUUUCUUCAGGACAGAGUUUCGCUCUUGUUGCCCAGGCUUGAGUGCAGUGGUGCAGUAUCAGCUCACUGCAACCUCCGCCUCCUGGGUUCAAGUGAUUCUCCUGCCUCAGCUUCCCAGGUAGCUGGGAUUACAGGCUCACAUCACCAUGCCCAGCUAAUGGAGAAUUUUUAUAUGCCACUGAGCUAGAGAUUGGUGGUAAUAUUUACAGAGGCCAUAUUUUAAUAUCUUAUAAAGAAAUAGAUUAUUUGGAAGUUCUACAUAAAUCAGUAAACCAAUUUUUCUUUUUUGUUUGUUUUUGAGACAGUCUUGCUAUGUCACCUAGGCUGGAGUGUAGCGGUGUGAUCUUGGCGUACUGCAGCCUCUGUCUCCCAGGUUCAAGCAAUUCUCAUGCCUCAGCCUCCCAAGUAGCUAGGAUUACAGGCAUGCAGCGUCACAUAUGACUAAUUUUUGUAUUUUUAGUGGAGAUGGAGUUUUACCAUGUUAGCCAGGCUGGUCUCAAACUCCUGACCUCAAAUGAUCUGACCACCUUAGCUUCCCAAAAUGCUGGGAUUACAGGUGUGAGCCACUGUGCCCAGCCAAACCAGUAUUUUCUAAAUGAUCAAUGCAUGAUAUAAAAUUAUACACAGGUUAAAGAUCCAUUCAAAGUGCAAAAUGGAGCCCAGGCGCGAUGGCUCACACCUGUAAUCCCAACAGUUUGGGAGGCUGAGGUGGGUGGAUCACCUGAGGUCACGAGUUCGAAACCAGCCUGGUAAAAUGCUGUUUCUACAAAAAACACAAAAAUUAGCUGGUAAAUUAGCUGGCCAACAUGGUAAAACCCCAUUUCUACAAAAAAAUACAAAAAUUAGCUGGGCAUGGUGGCAUAUGUCUGUAAUCCCACCUACUCGGGAGGCUGAGGCAUAAGAAUCACUUGAACCCAGGAGGCAGAGUUGCAGUGAGCCUAGAUCCUGCCACUGCACUCCAGCCUGGAUGACACAGAGUGAGGCUCCAUCUAAAAAAAAAUGCAAAAUGGACAAACAGAUUUUAAUGUAACAGAAUACAGUUCAUUGAGGCCAGAUGUGGUGUCUCCCGCCUGUAAUCCUAGUAUUUAGGGGACUGGGGUGGGAGAAUUGCUUGAGGCCAGGAGUUGGAGACCAGCCUGGGCAACAGAGUGAGAUCUUACCUCUCCAAAAAUUUUAAAAUUAGUUGAGCUCCCAUUGGAGCCACGGAGUUGAGGCUGCAAUGAACCAUGAACACACCACCGCACUCCAGUUUGGUCAAUAGAGGGAGACCCUGUCUCUGGGGGGAAAAAAAAGAAGAUAGUUCAUUGGUAGGGUUUCAGAUUCUACAUGGCAGCCAGCCUUUGAGAAACUCUUGGCUGGGUACAGUGGCUCACGCCUGUAAUCUCAGCACUUUAGGAGGCUGAGGCAGGUGGAUCAUUUGGGGUCAGGAGUUUGAGACCAGCCUGGCCAACAUGAUGAAACGCUGUCUCUACUAAAAAAGCAAAAAUUAGCCAGGAGUGGUGGCAUGCACCUGUAGCCCCAUCUACUUGGGAGGCUGAGGCAGGGAAGUCCCUUGAGCCCAGGAGGCGGAGGUUGUGACCUGAGAUCGUGCCACUGCACUUCAGCCUGGGUGACAGAGCGAGACUUUGUCUCAAAAAAAAACGAAACUACCAUUUACCAUGUUUUGAUGUAGCAUCAAAGAACAAUACCUACAGUUAUCUAGAAAGUCUGUUUUCGGGGGAGAAAGCAGUUAUUUUCCAGUAAAAAAAUAUUUGUUUUUAAAUGAAUAAUUAUUUAAAUUUCAGUUUUCAUUUCUAAUGUGGUAACUUUUGUGGAGAUAACCUACACAAACUAAGGCUCUUUGGGGCCUUUGAUGAUUUUCAAGAGUGUGACAAGGGUCUGAGGUUAAAAAGUUUGAGGCCAGGCACUAUAGUUCAUGCCUGUAAUUGCACACUUUGGGAAGCCAAGGCAGGUGGCUCACUUGAGCCCAGGAGUUCAAGAUUAGCCUGGGCAACAUAUGGAAAACCUGUCUCUACAAAAAAAAAAAAAAGAAGAAGAAGGCCAGGCGUGGUGUCAUGCCUAUGUUCCCAGCUGCUUAAGAGGCUGAGGUUCACUUGAGCUUGGGAGGUCAGCGCCUCAGUGAGCCAUGAUCACCCCACUGCACUCCAGCCUGGGUGACAGAGCAAGACCCCGUCUCAAAAAAAGUUUGAGAACCGUUGCUAUAGAAAGUCUAUCAAGAAGGCACAUAGGGAUUUUUGUUGCUAUCAUACUCUACAGUACUAACAUUGAAUGAAGUUUGUGUUAUGGUAAGUAGAAAAAAAGCAAUUUAAAAAUCAUUCUUACUGGUAUGGCCCCAUUUUUGUAAAACAAAAGUAUCUAUUUAUUUGUGUAUGUGCAGAAAAAAAGUAUGGAAGGAUUUUAGACUGAAAUUGUUAUCUCUAGGGACUUGAGCUCUAGAUGGAAUAGGAGAAAACUUUCUCUUUUUGCUUUAUGUGAUGUUCCAAGUGUCUUUUUACAACAAACUUGGGUCAUCUUAUAAUACAAAAAAUAUGAAGAUUUAAAAAUCAAAUUGACAACAGCCCAGUUCGUUACUUUUUGGAGAUACCUUUUUAUGAAAGAAUUUGCUUAAGUUGUGUAUGAAGACAAACCAAUUUUUUUGGACCCUGGCUCUUCUUUUUCUAAAGGAAUGCCAUGAUAUUUUGUGUUAUAGAUAAUUUGUGAUAUUCCAUAAGCUCAUCUUUCUAGAGUUGGUUAAUAUCCAUGUACAUUAGAUUGAAAAACUUGAAUUCAGAAAUAUACAGUGUUGGAUCAGUCAUAGAUCUGGAACCCAAGAAUAGUGUUGAUUGUUAGUGGUGGUGAAUCUGAAAGAGUGGGCAGAUGGCAACUUUUUGCCGGAAUCAUUCAGGGUCAAAGGGCUAGUCAUAUCUAGAAGGGAUAAAAAGGAAACCAUGUUGUUAAAUAUUUCAUGCACCGUAUGUUCCUUUCAAAUUUCAGAGGCUUGACGAAGAAAAUUCACUUUUGGGAGAGUUGGUAAAACAAUUGAAAGCAUUUAGUAGUCAAGUUUUUCCUUAGUGUUUCCUUCUUUCUUUAACAAACAUUUAUUUUAUUGAACACAGACUAUGCCAGGUAGUGUUCUAGUUGCUGAUGAUACAUUUGUGAACAAAAAAAAAUAUUUCUGCCCUCGAGAAUUGCUUGAACCCAGGAGGCGGAGAUUGCAGUGAGCCAAGUUCGCCCCUCUGUGCUACAGCCUGGGCAACAGUGAGAGAUUCUGUCUCAAAAAAAAAAAAAAAAUCCCUGCCCUGGAGAAUUGCUUGAACCCAGGAGGCAGAGAUUGCAGUGAGCCAAGUUCGCGCCACUGUACUACAGCCUGGGCAACAGUGAGAGACUCUGUCUCAAAAAAAAAAAAAAAAAAUCCCUGCUCUCCUAGAACUUAACAUUCUAGUGGGAAGAGACACACCAUAAAUAAGCUAAGUAAAUAAAAUAUGAAUCUAUUAGUGAUAUGUGCUGAGGAGAAGAAUAACGUAGAGAAAGGGGACAGGGAAUGGGGUAGGAGGUGUAAUUUUAGUUAGGGCAGCUAGAGAGGCCUGACUGAUGGGUGGUGUUUGAUUAAAGACCUGAAGGAGGGGCUAGGUGUGGGGGCUCAUGCCUCCCUUUUGGGAGGCCGAGGUAGGUGGGUGGAUCAUGAGGUCAGGAGAUUGAGACCAUCCUGGCCAUGGUGAAACCCUGUCUCUACUAAAAUACAAAAAAUAAUAGCCUUGUGUGGUGGCAAGUGCCUGUAGUCCCAGCUACUCAGGAGGCUGAGGCAGGGGAAUCGCUUGAACCCAGGAAACAGAGGUUGCAGUGAGCUGAGAUCGCACCACUAUACUCUAGCCUGGCAACAAAGCAAGACUCCGUCUCAAAAAAAAAAAAAAACCUGAAGGAGGAAGGUGAGCAGCAAGCCCUGUUGAAAUAAGUGAAAGCGGCUGGGCACAGUGAGUCACGCCUGUAAUCCCAGCACUUUGGGAGGCUGAGGCAGGUAGAUCAUCUGAGGUUGAGAGUUCGAAACCAGCCUGACCAACAUGGAGAAACCCUGUCUUUACUAAAAAUGCAAAUAAAUAAAUAAAUAAGCCAGGCAUGGUGGCACAUUCCUAUAAUUCCAGCUACUUGGGAGGCUGAGGCAGGAGAAUUGUUAGAACCCGGGAGGCAGAGGUGGCGGUGAGCCAAGAUUGUGCCAUUGCGGUCCAGCCCGAGCAACAAGAACGAAACUCUUGUCUCAAAAAAAAAAAAAAAAAACAGAAAGAAAAGAA